CCUACGUGUCGCAGCAGUGGGGAAUAUUGGACAAUGGGCGAAAGCCUGAUCCAGCCAUGCCGCGUGUGUGAAGAAGGCCUUCGGGUUGUAAAGCACUUUCAGUGGGGAAGAAAGCCUUGGGGCUAAUACCCUCGAGGAAGGACAUCACCCACAGAAGAAGCACCGGCUAACUCCGUGCCAGCAGCCGCGGUAAUACGGAGGGUGCGAGCGUUAAUCGGAAUUACUGGGCGUAAAGCGCGCGUAGGCGGUCUGAUAAGCCGGUUGUGAAAGCCCCGGGCUCAACCUGGGAACGGCAUCCGGAACUGUCAGGCUAGAGUGCAGGAGAGGAAGGUAGAAUUCCCGGUGUAGCGGUGAAAUGCGUAGAGAUCGGGAGGAAUACCAGUGGCGAAGGCGGCCUUCUGGACUGACACUGACGCUGAGGUGCGAAAGCGUGGGUAGCAAACAGGAUUAGAUACCCCUGUAGUC
rnacentral:rRNA from 1 species